AUGGAGCUGGUUCCUUCUGCUCGUCAGCUAAACGAGCCCCUGUGCGUGCAGGGGUGCGGUGGUGGGAGGCUUGGGGCAAAAUCCCCUCUGCUCCUGGGCAGCAGCUCCCCGGGGCGGUGGCGAAUUGCCCCCAGGGACAGCGAGUGUCCAGCAGGAAGGGCAGGACGGAGACCAAAGCCCUGCCUGCACAUCGGCACCCAAACCCCAAAAAAGCGACCAGGUGCCCUCCAGCUGGCCUCCAGCACUGCUGGGAAGCGUUACGGGAGCCCACGGGGCUGGGGCCGGGGCAGGACAGCCCCGUGGUUUUACCUCCUGCUCCCUUCCUCUCCCCAACCCUUUCCACACGAUGGUUUCCUGACUUCUCUGUGGCUGCCUCACACCAUCCUGCUGCUUCAGACCCCCAAGACCCCCUCCUGCACCACGGGAGCGAGCGGGGACACAGCUCCCACCAGGGGACCCCAUCCCAGGGCUGCGUCCCCGGGGUCCCCGUCCCUUCCCCACCCCAACACUGAGGUCACGGCGCUGGGGAGCAGCUGCCCAGGCCCUCCCUGGUGCCACAGGAGGGUGGGGGGCUCCACGCUGGAGCUUUGGGGGGGUUUGGAAAUGGCUUGGUGCUGCCUGGGCUGGCCCCAACCCCAUUUGGGGGAUCCCUUGCGCCCCAGUGGGGUUUUCUCCUGCAGGAAGAGCCGCAGCACCCAGCACCCCUCCUGCCCCCCGGAGCUGGGGGUCGCUGCGGGUGCAGGGACCUGGGGAGGAGCUGGGGGCUGCAGCAUCCCGGUGAGCCCCCUCCUGGAGCCACAGCUCUGCCAGGAGCUGGUUGCCUACACCCUGGAGCUGCCGCUGUGGAGGGGAGAUGUCACCCGGGUCCCCUGCAAGGUGAGGCGAUGCCACCCCAGCACACGGCAUCCCGUGAGCCUGGCCACGGUGGAUUUGGGGCCCUGGGCAUCUCCGCAUUGCCAGGGGGGUGGCAGCUGUGGGGCCGGUGGCAAGAAGCGGGGCAGGAGGAGCCCCCCACAGGGUGCCAGGGAUGCGGCGUGGCCCAGCACCGCGGUGCUCAGCGCUUUGACUUCCUUCCCCGCGCGGAGCCGAUUUCCUCCAGCGUCACGUGCGCGGCGCGGGGCCAGGGUGGCCGGGGGGAGCCUGGCACGGCGCCGAGCGGCACGGCCUGGGGGGCAGCCCCGUGCCAGCAGCCUGAGCCAGCGAGGGACCGGCCUGGCCACCAGCAGCAGCACAGGGCGAGGAUGGAGCCGCCCAAGCCGCCCCCGAGCAAGAGGAUGGCUCCUGCGCCCCCCGUCCCGGCCAAAACCAAACCAGCGCUGGGGCUGCCGAGCAAGCCCAGCAGCCCCCAGCCCGGCGCCUCGGCUGAACUGGAGCGGGGCAGAGCCGCAGACCCAGGUAGGGCCAGGCUGGGAGGUGCCAGCGCGGGGUCCUGGGGCCGUGCCCUCCUUUCACACCUUCCCUUUCGCAGACGCCGACGGCUUCAGCGCCCUGCAGGUGACCACGGCCAAGCUGAGCCACCCCACGGCCACGCGCCCCCGGGUGCCGGGCCAGCGGCCGCCCAGCAUGGCCUGGGGGGGUUUGGGGCCGCCCUGCGCCAGGCUCUGCCCCCCUCUCCCCCCCGCAGCACAGAGCCCGGAGCAGCGGCUGGCCCUGGAGGACCUGAAGGCUGAGGUGCGGUCCCUGCACAUCCUCGUGGACCUGAUGCGAGGCCAGCACCUGAGGGACCUGGAGGACGUGAGGCUGGAGCUGCAGCACGAGCGGGCCAGGCGCGAGGCGCUGCAGGCGGAGAUCGAGCGGGUGAGGAAGGCGCUGCCCUGCUAG
rnacentral:lncRNA from 1 species